GGAUGAACUUCAGUGGCAGAGUGCUUGCCUGGCAUGCACAAGACCCUGGGUUCAAUCCCCAGCACCA
rnacentral:tRNA from 1 species